rnacentral:rRNA from 1 species
GGUUAAGCGACUAAGCGUACACGGUGGAUGCCCUGGCAGUCAGAGGCGAUGAAGGGCGUGCUAAUCUGCGAUAAGCGCCGGUAAGGUGAUAUGAACCGUUAUAACCGGCGAUACCCGAAUGGGGAAACCCAGUGUGAUUCGUCACACUAUCAUUAACUGAAUCCAUAGGUUAAUGAGGCGAACCGGGGGAACUGAAACAUCUAAGUACCCCGAGGAAAAGAAAUCAACCGAGAUUCCCCCAGUAGCGGCGAGCGAACGGGGAGGAGCCCAGAGCCUGAAUCAGCAUGUGUGUUAGUGGAAGCGUCUGGAAAGGCGCGCGAUACAGGGUGACAGCCCCGUACACAAAAGCGCAUAUGCUGUGAGCUCGAUGAGUAGGGCGGGACACGUGGUAUCCUGUCUGAAUAUGGGGGGACCAUCCUCCAAGGCUAAAUACUCCUGACUGACCGAUAGUGAACCAGUACCGUGAGGGAAAGGCGAAAAGAACCCCGGCGAGGGGAGUGAAAAAGAACCUGAAACCGUGUACGUACAAGCAGUGGGAGCCCCACCACUAAGCCAGUGGUGAACUCCACAUACGCAUCCUUUGCUGAGGAGACGGUUAACGGAGCGAAAGCGACGUUCAACCUCAAAAGAAGCAGAGGGGGCUUAGUGGUGGGGUGACUGCGUACCUUUUGUAUAAUGGGUCAGCGACUUAUAUUCUGUAGCAAGGUUAACUGUAUAGGGGAGCCGGAGGGAAACCGAGUCUUAACCGGGCGUUAAGUUGCAGGGUAUAGACCCGAAACCCGGUGAUCUAGCCAUGGGCAGGUUGAAGGUUGGGUAACACUAACUGGAGGACCGAACCGACUAAUGUUGAAAAAUUAGCGGAUGACCUGUGGCUGGGGGUGAAAGGCCAAUCAAACCGGGAGAUAGCUGGUUCUC